GUAAAACAAAUUUCUGAAGAUCCUCCUUGCAAAUGCCCGAACAAAUUCUGUGUGGAACGCCUCUCCCAAGGAAGAUACCGAGUGGGAGAAAAGAUCCUCUUCAUUAGGAUGCUGCACAACAAACAUGUCAUGGUCCGUGUGGGAGGAGGAUGGGAAACUUUUGCAGGGUAUUUGUUGAAACACGACCCCUGCCGAAUGCUGCAGAUCUCCCGUGUGGAUGGCAAAACAUCCCCCAUCCAAAGCAAAUCUCCAACCCUUAAGGACAUGAAUCCAGAUAAUUACUUGGUGGUCUCUGCCAAUUAUAAGGCUAAGAAGGAGAUUAAAUGAAACUCAUUGGUCACUACAAGAGAGCUCUCAUAACAGCUUGUAUCCAUUUCUCCAGUGUAGUCAGUUUAGUUCACAUGCUCUGAAAACUACUUUGGAAAAAGGCGUAACAAAAAAAAAAAAAAAAAAAAAAAAAAAAGGCAUCGUAUUGAAAAUUAUUCAAAAAGUAGCACUAUUUAUUUUUAAUGCUUCUGUAGAAAAUGAUCUAUUAAAAGAAAUUCUAAAUUCAAAUUUAAAUUAGACAAAUUAUUAUUUCUCAAUAUGUGAACACAGUAUUUAGAACACAAACAAUAUUAGGAACACAAUUCUAGCUAAAGAUAAAAACUGUUAUUAGGAGAAAAUAUUUAGGAUUUGCAGAUAAGUUAACAGAAAGUGCCUGCUUUGUGUCUAUGAGUAAAAGCACCCCAGACAUUUUUAUAAUUGCAGGAUUUUUACGCUAUUUUUUACAAAAUGACAAUUAGUGUGACAAUGUGCUACUAAAAAUAUCCAAUAGCACUACAAGUACAGAGUAUUCACAACAGUAACACUUUACUGGAAUGGCCACUUCAGAAAAGUUUACAUUCACUUGGAAGAUUGCCUUAAAGUUUAUCUCUUCUUAUCUAUGACCAAAUAUCUGGGGUACUUUUGGAAGUUUUCAGUACACCCCCUUAGAGAAUAGUUUAUGAAUUGUUUCACACAUUCCUAAGCACACGGCUGUGUUUAGAAUGACUUAGUGUAAAUCACACACAUAAGCUGACAUACAUUUAUAUUUUGAUGAGUAAAUUGUACAAAUGUUCAUUGACUUCAUAAUGUUUUAAAACAUUUUCUUAUUACAAUAUAUCUUUAGUUACUCCUACUUUGCUAUGCUGUCUAGUAAAGUAAGUUCACCGAAGCUAAUGAUGUUACAAACUUGUAUACCCUUGUAUACCUAGGACAGGGCUGCUUUGUACCAAUAAACAGCAAAAUAUUGUCCUUAGUGAUUCAAGAAUUUAAAAGAUAAAUUUAAAAAAUGUUAA